rnacentral:rRNA from 1 species
UAUUGGAUUGUAAAAGUUAAAAACAUAAUAAAGUAAUUUAUUAUUUUACCUUUUGUAUCAGGGUUUAUUAAUUUUUAAAUUAUUUAAAAUAUCGAUUUGAAAAGAUUUAUAAUUUUUAUGGGUUUUUGUGUUAUCAAAUAAAUAAAAAAUUAUGGAAGUGAGACUCUUUCGAUUUUUAAGUUAUCUAAUUUAUAAAAGAGGUAAAAAUAUAGAAUAACUAUAUUUUUGUUUUCUUUAAAAAACUUUUAGUUUCUAGGCUUUGAAUUGGCUAUGAUUGAAUUUUGUUAUAAAUUUAUAUGAAAUAAUUUUGUUAAAAAUUUUAUAUGUAUAUUUAUUAAUAUUUUUUAUUAAUAAUAAUGAAAUUAGUAUAUAUUUAUAUUUAAAUAAAUUACUCAUGUUUUAUAUGAAUGUUUAACAAAAACAUUUUUUUUUUUAUAAAAAAUAUAAUCUGCCCGGUGUAAUAUAAACGGCUGCGGUAUCUUGACUGUGCUAAGGUAGCAUAAUAAUUUGUUUUUUAAUUGGAUACUGGUAUGAAUGAUUUUACAUUUAAAACUUUUUUUAUUUAAAAUUUUAAAAUUUAGAGUUUAAGUUAAAAUACUUAAAUACAUAAAAAAGACGAUAAGACCCUAAAAGCUUUAUUUUUAUUUAAAUUUUAAAUAAUUUUAAUUUUAAAGUAAAAUUUUUACUGGGGUAGUAUUUUAAUUAAUUUUUUAUAAAUAACCUUAUGAUAUAUAAUUCCUUAAUAUUAGGAUAUUAAAUUAGUUACUUUAGGGAUAACAGCGUAAUAACUCCGAAAAGAACAUAUUUAUGGCGUUGAUUACGACCUCGAUGUUGAAUUAAUAAAUCUUUUUAAAGCAGAUUUUAAAUAAGAAGGUUUGUUCAACCUUUAAUUUAUUACAUGAUUUGAGUUCAAACCGGUUUAAGCCAGGUUGGUUUCUAUCUUUUUAUAAAAAUAAAAUAUUUUAGUACGAAAGGACCAAUUAUUUUUUU